rfam:Stenotrophomonas sp. Leaf70 contig_2, whole genome shotgun sequence.
GGAGUCGGCCGGACAGUCGCGUCGUUCCUUCGGGAGCGCCGAGGAAAGUCCGGGCUCCACAGGGCAAGGUGCCAGGUAACGCCUGGGCGGCGCGAGCCGACGGAAAGUGCAACAGAAAGAUACCGCCUACGUCUCCUCCGGGAGGCCGGUAAGGGUGAAAUGGUGCGGUAAGAGCGCACCGCGAGUCCGGCAACGGACCGGCACGGCAAACCCCACCUGGAGCAAGACCAAAUAGGGACCUAAUGGCGUGGCCCGCGUCGGGUCCGGGUAGGUUGCUCGAGCGUCACGGUGACGUGGCGCCUAGAAGAAUGACUGUCCACGACAGAACCCGGCUUACAGGCCGGCUCCGCCG